UACGUAGGGUGCAAGCGUUGUCCGGAAUUAUUGGGCGUAAAGAGCUCGUAGGCGGUUUGUCGCGUCUGCUGUGAAAAUCCAGGGCUUAACCCUGGACCUGCAGUGGGUACGGGCAGACUGGAGUGCGGUAGGGGAGAUCGGAAUUCCUGGUGUAGCGGUGAAAUGCGCAGAUAUCAGGAGGAACACCAGUGGCGAAGGCGGCUCACUGGCCCGGAACUGACGCUGAGGUACGAAAGCGUGGGGAGCAAACAGG
rnacentral:rRNA from 1 species